GCUCCAGACUCCUACGGGAGGCAGCAGUGGGGAAUAUUGCACAAUGGGGGAAACCCUGAUGCAGCGACGCCGCGUGAAGGAUGAAGUAUUUCGGUCUGUAAACUUCUAUCAGCAGGGAAGAAAAUGACGGUACCUGACUAAGAAGCCCCGGCUAACUACGUGCCAGCAGCCGCGGUAAUACGUAGGGGGCAAGCGUUAUCCGGAUUUACUGGGUGUAAAGGGAGCGUAGACGGCAGUGCAAGUCUGGAGUGAAAGGCGGGGGCUCAACCCCCGGACUGCUCUGGAAACUGUGCGGCUGGAGUGCAGGAGAGGUAAGUGGAAUUCCUAGUGUAGCGGUGAAAUGCGUAGAUAUUAGGAGGAACACCAGUGGCGAAGGCGGCUUACUGGACUGUAACUGACGUUGAGGCUCGAAAGCGUGGGGAGCAAACAGGAUUAGAUACCCCUGUACA
rnacentral:rRNA from 1 species